rnacentral:rRNA from 1 species
GAUGAACGCUGACAGAAUGCUUAACACAUGCGAGUCAACUUGAACUUCGGUUUGGGUGGCGGACGGGUGAGUAACGCGUAAAGAACUUGCCUCACAGAUAGGGACAACAUUUGGAAACGAAUGCUAAUACCUGAUAUUAUGAUUAUAUGGCAUCGUAUAAUUAUGAAAGCUAUAUGCGCUGUGAGAGAGCUUUGCGUCCCAUUAGCUAGUUGGAGAGGUAACGGCUCACCAAGGCGAUGAUGGGUAGCCGGCCUGAGAGGGUGAUCGGCCACAGGGGGACUGAGGCACGGCCCUUACUCCUACGGGAGGCAACAGUGGGGAAUAUUGGACAAUGGACCAAGAGUCUGAUCCAGCAAUUCUGUGUGCACGAUGAAGUUUUUCGGAAUGUAAAGUGCUUUCAGUUGGGAAGAAAAAAAUGACGGUACCAACAGAAGAAGUGACGGCUAAAUACGUG